UACGUAGGCAGCGAGCGUUGUUCGGAGUUAUUGGGCGUAAAGAGCUCGUAGGCGGUUUGUCGCGUCUGCUGUGAAAACUCGAGGCUCAACCUCGGGCUUGCAGUGGGUACGGGCAGACUAGAGUGCGGUAGGGGUGACUGGAAUUCCUGGUGUAGCGGUGGAAUGCGCAGAUAUCAGGAGGAACACCGAUGGCGAAGGCAGGUCACUGGGCCGCAACUGACGCUGAGGAGCGAAAGCAUGGGGAGCGAACAGG
rnacentral:rRNA from 1 species